GUGCACCAGUCGAAGAAACCUCCGCAAUACAACGAAAGUGUGGACGGGGCCAUCCCGAGUGCCCGUCCGCUGAGGACGGUCCUUUUCCCCAGUGUACACAGCGUGGGGGAAUAAGGAGAGGGCAAGCCUGGUGUCAGCCGCCGCGGUAAUACCAGCUCUCCGAGUGGGUGGGGACGCUUAGUUGGGACCUAAAAGCAUCC
rnacentral:rRNA from 1 species